rnacentral:rRNA from 1 species
GACGAACGCUGGCGGCGUGCUUAACACAUGCAAGUCGAACGGAAAAGCCCUGCUUGCAGGGUACUCGAGUGGCGAACGGGUGAGUAACACGUGGGUGAUCUGCCCUUCACUUCGGGAUAAGCCUGGGCAACUGGGUCUAAUACCGGAUAGGAGCCAUUUUUAGUGUGAUGGUUGGAAAGUUUUUUCGGUGUAGGAUGAGCUCGCGGCCUAUCAGCUUGUUGGUGGGGUAAUGGCCUACCAAGGCGGCGACGGGUAGCCGGCCUGAGAGGGUGGACGGCCACAUUGGGACUGAGAUACGGCCCAGACUCCUACGGGAGGCAGCAGUGGGGAAUAUUGCACAAUGGGCGCAAGCCUGAUGCAGCGACGCCGCGUGGGGGAUGACGGCCUUCGGGUUGUAAACUCCUUUCGCUAGGGACGAAGCUUUUUGUGACGGUACCUAGAUAAGAAGCACCGGCUAACUACGUG